UGGGGAAUUUUGGACAAUGGGCGAAAGCCUGAUCCAGCAAUGCCGCGUGUGUGAAGAAGGCCUUCGGGUUGUAAAGCACUUUUGUCCGGAAAGAAAUCCUUGGCUCUAAUACAGUCGGGGGAUGACGGUACCGGAAGAAUAAGCACCGGCUAACUACGUGCCAGCAGCCGCGGUAAUACGUAGGGUGCAAGCGUUAAUCGGAAUUACUGGGCGUAAAGCGUGCGCAGGCGGUUUGCUAAGACCGAUGUGAAAUCCCCGGGCUCAACCUGGGAACUGCAUUGGUGACUGGCAGGCUAGAGUAUGGCAGAGGGGGGUAGAAUUCCACGUGUAGCAGUAAAAUGCGUAGAGAUGUGGAGGAAUACCGAUGGCGAAGGCAGCCCCCUGGGCCAAUACUGACGCUCAUGCACGAAAGCGUGGGGAGCAAACAGGAUUAGAUACCCUGGUAGUCCACGCCCUAAACGAUGUCAACUAGUUGUUGGGGAUUCAUUUCCUUAGUAACGUAGCUAACGCGUGAAGUUGACCGCCUGGGGAGUACGGUCGCAAGAUUAAAACUCAAAUGAAUUGACGGGGUCAUAGCUGUUUCCU
rnacentral:rRNA from 1 species